GAGAUUUCAUGCGCUGUUCUCAACUACCGCUAUGUCCAUGUCGAGUUUCCCACACUCGCAAUCGAGUAGUUUUGUUUAGCUGGAGUGCCCGAGUGGGACGAGUGCUAAAGACACCAGAGUUAUAGCAGUAGUUUUGGUAACGCUAACAGUCAGUUAUCACUGUUGGACAUCACUAAGAAUGACCAGUUUAAUGACGUGUUCCAUUUUUUUACGGGACGAACAGAAAUUCAGCAAAGAAUUUGAGAAAAUCAAGAAACAAUUCAAGCCAUAAAUUCAACAGUGUUACCUUGCCAAGGGGAAUACUUUUGAUGUUGAUAGUUCGGGCAACAGUACGGACUUUCACGGUUUGUCCUUUCAGGGGCAAAAGUGUCCUAAGAGAACGCGCUUUUGACGCUAAUGCUGACAAUGAAAGGCAGUAAUGACUAGGUUGUGAACAUACAGAACACGAUACAUCAAUGAGGUGUGUUCUUCUGGCGCGAAAUCCACGAAAUAUUGGAAACACUGCUAAAAGCGAACACGUGCGGUUUUGUUACGAGAACUUGACACUCCGAGCCUAAAGGGCAUCGUAUUGAUUCGAGGCCAAAGAAGGCCUGGAAAUAUGACAGCAUUUUUGUUUUAUGAUCCAGUACGCCAUUCGACGCUCAACCGAAGUUAAUCAGAACUCAAACUCAAUCCUCAACAAUAUCAGCGAGGCCAGCGUGUCAUCUCAGUUUGUUGAGCUUCAGCAAACAUGAGCCAACAAGACAAACAUUAUUGUACAAUCCCGACCCCCUUUUGCAAAAAUAUUACAACUCUCUCAAGAAAUUCAGCACGAAAUCCUCUUGUGUCAGCCUUACAUGCUUCCUAUCAAGAUAUUUUCCCAUGUUUGCUUCAUCAACACUUCCAACAGCGGAUCCUUGGUAAUUUAGACUUCCGUUCCAGCGUGGAUGGGGCUUAGCAAUAAAUUGAUGCUGGGCAACGGCAAAUUGUUCGGGACGAGUCGCUCGAACGGAAACGAUCUGACCCAACAGAUAGCUUAUAGUGAUGUGUCCAUUAAUGUGACUGACCUCGAUAUGUUGCUUUUAAAUAAUGCGAACCUUACACCAGAAGAACAGUCUGCGAGCAAUUAAGGCCAUUUAACAACCGUUGUUGUCUGGAAUUCACGGCUUUGGGUUGACGAAUUUGGCGUCAGGACUUGCUCUAUCUCUGUCUACGGCAGCAGCAGCAGAAACAACAAAAAAACAGAUUGGUAACCAGCUGUACAACAGGCUCUCUUGCCAGCUGGGCCCAGACACCCAGGGACACUUCCUUCGCAUGGGUGGUGGUGGGUGGCACUCGGCGAAGGACUUUUGGGCAGUUCAACGUGUCCUACUCGCAGAGUGCAGCCAAUCUAAACAUGGGGCUCCACAUAUUCCUGGUCAAGAUUACCUUAUCCAAAUAGUAGAUUGGUAGUGUAAUUUACUUUGUAUUAUGUGCAGUUGUUUUACUCCAAAUUUCAAUUCAAAUAGUUUGUGUGUGUUAUAUAUUGAUAAUACUCUCUCAUGGGUGCUAACUUAAAAAAUCAUCAGGUAAUCGUAAAUAUUUGUAUUGUUUUGUAUUGCCUUGAAAGUGUGUAAGGGGGGGGGGGGGCUUUAAGAUUUAUCCUUGUCAGUAAUUCUAUCUGUCCUUGCUUCCAUCAUUCCCUAUGUCCAACCCACCUUUUUGUUGUUGAACUGCACUUAAUAAAUAUUGGUUUCAGAGGGAUGAAACAUGUCAGAAUCAAGUGUAUAGUAUAUAGAUGGCUAUGUUUGUAUCAAGUCUUUGGUGUAUAUCCCAUUUGUAUCAAAAGCCUACAAACAUGAUGUAUUUCUUAUAAAUGUUUUACUUAAACAACAUUGAUUGACUUCCAAUAUAACUGAUACAAUAUCAGAAUGUUUUGAAUAAUUUGGUUUACAUGGGACACAUUUAUGGGAUGCGCUAAGAUUUUUUAAUCUGUUCGCAGAAGCCUUAUCCUCAAAAGUUCAGGUCCAAAGAAAGAUGGUGACCAACUGCAACUCAGCCACUUCAUCUCAAUAGGUAAGUUCUUGUGCCAUUGCAAAAGGGGCCACUAUGGCAAAGCAUUCAGGAGACCCAGUCUCAAUAGCCUAAGACGUUAGAUGCAAUAAAGCUUUAAUAAGCAGGUUAAACCUAAUUCAAACUUUGGUUUCUGCUCAUCAUUUAAUUGACCAGUUUAUCUUAUUUCAAUUUAGGAG